rnacentral:rRNA from 1 species
UACGUAGGGUGCGAGCGUUGUCCGGAAUUAUUGGGCGUAAAGAGCUCGUAGGCGGCUUGGCAAGUCGGGUGUGAAAACUCCAGGCUCAACCUGGAGACGCCACCUGAUACUGCCAUGGCUAGAGUCCGGUAGGGGACCACGGAAUUCCUGGUGUAGCGGUGAAAUGCGCAGAUAUCAGGAGGAACACCGGUGGCGAAGGCGGUUCUCUGGGAAUGUCCUGACGCUGAGGAGCGAAAGUGUGGGGAGCGAACAGG